AAAAAGGGUCGCAAGGGUGGCAAGGUUGCGAAAGAGCGCACCACUGCUGGCCUCUUCUGGAAUGCCACUGGCACAGACUUCUGGAAGCCCGUUUUCAUCGGCAAGGCCAAC
rnacentral:ribozyme from 1 species